GUGUAUUGGAGGCUGAUAUUCAUACGUGGGGGACAAAGAGAGAUUGGCUGAGGCAGUCUUAACUACAUGUCAGUUUUCUGAUCAUCGGUCAGAGAGGCGCUAAUUAUUUGAUGAUGGCUGACGACUGAUGGAAUGAUGUUCAAAGGAUGCAGAACAUCGUAGGAAAGUGUUCAUCAGUAAGUUAGAAAUACAAAUGAAGAUGAACAGCCACCACUGGCAGCAGCACUGAUAAGCUCCUUCUGUUCUCAGUAGUAUCCAGAUCUGUUUUCUUCAUGCACAAAUCCCAGAAUUCCUCUUUUGGAGAAUCAAAGACUAUUUUAGUGGAUUGAGACCACAUGUGUCACUGAGAUGGACCCUUUCUAGGUCAAGGAACUGCCACCCUGGGGCAUAGUUUCAGUCACAAGAUAUCUUGGAGUUGUCUAGAGGAGGAGAACAAAUCUCAUGCUUAGAUUUCCAGUGAGAAUUCUUCUGUGAGCAUUUUCAUGUUAUCUUUUGACAAAAUGGUUAUUAUCUCGCUAAUC
rnacentral:lncRNA from 1 species